UUGCUUCUUCAGCACAUAUACUGUAAGCACAUGGAACAAUACAGAGAAGAUUAGUGUGGCCCUUGGGCAAGGAUGAUGCACAAAUUCGUGAAGCGUUCCAUAUUUUU
rfam:Otolemur garnettii contig093114, whole genome shotgun sequence.